UACAGAGACUGCAAGCGUUAUUCGGAUUCACUGGGCGUAAAGGGUGCGCAGGCGGCCAAGUGUGUUAGGCGUGAAAUCCCGAGGCUCAACCUCGGAACUGCACCUAAAACUAUUUGGCUAGAGUACUGGAGAGGGUAGCGGAAUUCACGGUGUAGCAGUGAAAUGCGUAGAUAUCGUGAGGAACACCAAUGGCGAAGGCAGCUACCUGGACAGUAACUGACGCUCAGGAACGAAAGCGUGGGGAGCAAAAGGG
rnacentral:rRNA from 1 species